AUAGGGUACAGCCAAGGCGGACUGUGCUUCUCGAAUGUGGUGGAGGAUUUUUCAGAUAAAAUAUCUGUGGCUAUUUUUGUUGUCGCCGCCAUGCCUGGCCCAUCCCUAAAUGCUUCAUUUCUACUUGAACAGGUGGUCGGUGAAACUGUUGGAAGCUAAAGCGGUCGUUGAGGGUUUGAAAAGUCUUCAUGAUGCGUGAAAAGGUCCUCUUCAAAUACAAAUUUGAGCUGCAACCUUCUCCAAUUGAAGUCGUGGACCACCAAGAGAUCUUCUCUACUAUUCUCAACUUUGAAUUUAAGUGGUGGAACUCACAAUUGAGCUGAAUUUAUGAGGGAAUUGGAGUGGAUUUUAAGGAACUGAAGAGCAACCCCAAUGACACUUCAAUUGCAUGAAGAUAAUGGGCAAGGACUAUCAUGCAAUGAAGAUUUCUGCAUGAAGAGCAUUGCUGCAUGAAGUGUAAAGCUCGAACCCGAAUUAUUUUAAGUAAGAAAAAGUAAUGAGACGUCUCUUAAUGAGUUGAAUGAAGCCAUGACUUAGGAAGGAUUGAGGGUGGAAUCAUGAAGAAAUAAGCUCGUGUAAGCUAAGUGUAAACCCCGAAAUCUAAGUUCCUAAACAAGUAUGUUUUGCUAAAGGAAUGAUAUAUUAAAUAUCAUGUAAAUUAAAAUCCAUGAAAAUUAUAAAGAUUGAGGAGAAAGGAAAAGAAAAAUGUAUUAAAUAAAGAAACUCACUUAUUGGCUUGGGCUGAAUCAUUAGAUAUGAGUUGACGUGGUGAAUUAUCCUUGAAUUUGGAAGUCGGUAGGAAGAUUAAAAGGGAAAAGGAACUUCAAAAGUCUGGUUUUGGCAAUCUACAUGAACAAAUUUAGUGAAAUCAGUUCCAUUUGAAAGCUGGGAGAAUCUAAUUUUCAAAUUUGUCUUGCUAGAGAAAGAUGGCAGGAGAAGAAGAAUGGAAAGUGAUGAAAUU